rnacentral:rRNA from 1 species
UACGAAGGGGGCUAGCGUUGUUCGGAAUUACUGGGCGUAAAGCGUGCGCAGGCGGUUUUGUAAGUUUGUCGUGAAAGCCCCGGGCUCAACCUGGGAAUUGCGAUGAAGACUGCAAGGCUUGAAUCUGGCAGAGGGGGGUAGAAUUCCACGUGUAGCAGGUGAAAAUGCGUAGAGAUGUGGAGGAACACCGAUGGCGAAGGCAGCCCCCUGGGUCAAGAUUGACGCUCAUGCACGAAAGCGUGGGGAGCAAACAGG